ACCCUUUGCAGCCCUGCCACUAGGGUAGCAGCUCAUUUCUAUUUUGUGGUCUGGUCUCUUUCUAGUCUGGAUGUAUGCUUGUUACUCAAACAAUGCCAAAACUAUUAGUGUGCUAUCUAUACUGCCUAAGCUGGAACUGAAGCAUUGCUUGAGCAGGAUGGGAUGGGGCGCUGUCAAUAUCAGUUCUCCUGUGAUUCUGCAGUUCAGAUCAAUUCAGGAUACCCUUCAACGUGGUUUAGUUUAUCCAUCUAAUUGUGGAAGAGGUUAAACAAAAUGAGAACCCCUGGAAGUCUACGUCAUGGCCCUGAGGGAAAGAAUAAUCAAAACAAUAUCUUCAUUAGGCUGCAGUACUCAGCAAGGAAAGAAUGGAGCCAUGCCACAAACACCAAGACUAAUUUUGUGAGAUCUUUAUAAAGAGAGAAAAAUCUCCUGAGUGAUGUCUGAAAAGCAGCUGAAAGAUCUAACUGUGCUGACAUGGAUGCAUCCAAUGCUUCACUAUUGCUACUGGUAUUAUAUGGCUUUUUUGUAUAAUUACUUUCAAAAGCAGUAGAACAUGUUUUUACAUAUCAGAAAAUAUUUGAGGUACCUCUGGGCUAUCAUUGUUAGUAUACUUUUGGAAGAAAAGUUACAUCCUUUUUAUCAAAGAGGGCCUUUAAUUCUGUGAUUUCAAAAUCAUCUUGAUUUAUCAUAUUUUCUUUACUUACUUUUCUCUUUAUGUUCAUCUAACUUAGGCUGGAAGAUGAGAACAAUAUAGAUGACAAUAUACUGAUUAUUUAAGAGAGCUUAGAGAGUUCUGCAAAGAGCAGUGUAAAAGCUGAAUAUAAAAUCAGACAGAGACUAGAAGCCUGUUAGCAGAGUAUGCAAAGAUUAUAUGUGCUUGUUAUCAUACUGGUGGAAGAACAAAUCAAGGACAUCUUGUAGACUAUGAAAUAGCUGCAGUGGCUGUGCGCCAAUCAUGUCAUAAACAUGAACCUAUAGAACCUGAACUGUCAUUUAUUUUAUGUCAAUUCAGAUUCUUAUUUAUUUUCCAGACACAAAUACAAUGGAAACAAUAAAAGGAAGACUCAACU
ensembl:lncRNA